GUUUUUCUUUUUUUUUUUUUUUGGGUGGGGGUACAAGAACCAUUACAAAGAUUCGGAAAUUUAUUUACAUAGGUAACAUCUGGCACGCACUUAACAACCCCAAUCGUCCAGAAGAACUCAUCAUUCAACAACCUCAGUUAUCACGGAGAGACUUGCCUCCACUCACAUGUAUGUAGUAUUAAGCCUGCACAGAUUAAUUGUAUUCUGCUCUAACUACCAUCUAGAGAUUAGUAGUGCUGCUAUUAUGUAUUAAACAAGGCUCUUCGCAAGCAUAUCACUCUGAAGUCACUGCUUGAUUGUGAGCUCAGCCCUAAGGUGAAGAAUUCCAUUAUGAAAUAUGGACUAUCAUCGGCCACAAAUGCCGUCCAAGGA
rnacentral:lncRNA from 1 species